rnacentral:rRNA from 1 species
UACGAAGGGGGCUAGCGUUGCUCGGAUUUACUGGGCGUAAAGGGCGCGUAGGCGGACAGUUUAGUCAGAGGUGAAAGCCCGGGGCUCAACCUCGGAAUUGCCUUUGAUACUGGCUGUCUUGAGUAUGGAAGAGGUAUGUGGAACUCCGAGUGUAGAGGUGAAAUUCGUAGAUAUUCGGAAGAACACCAGUGGCGAAGGCGACAUACCUGGUCCAUUACUGACGCUGAGGCGCGAAAGCGUGGGGAGCAAACAGGAUUGAGAA